rnacentral:rRNA from 1 species
UGGCUGUCGUCAGCACGUGUCGUGAGAUGUUGGGUUAAGUCCCGUAACGAGCGCAACCCUUGUCCUUAGUUACCAGCACCUCGGGUGGGAACUCUAAGGAGACUGCCGGUGACAAACCGGAGGAAGGUGGGGAUGACGUCAAGUCAUCAUGGCCCUUACGGCCAGGGCUACACACGUGCUACAAUGGUCGGUACAAAGGGUUGCCAAACCGCGAGGUGGAGCUAAUCCCAUAAAACCGAUCGUAGUCCGGAUCGCAGUCUGCAACUCGACUGCGUGAAGUCGGAAUCGCUAGUAAUCGUGAAUCAG